UUUCCGUAGGUGAACCUGCGGAAGGAUCAUUAUUGGAUUUUGAAACUUCAGGCUGCUGCUGGCUCUCCUCGGAGGGCAUGUGCACGCUUGUUGUCCAUUAUUUCUCCCACUGUGCACAAAUUGUAGACCUUUCAGUAGGCCUAUGUUGUUUUUCACAAUCUCUGAAUGUAAUAGAAUGGUUUUGAAUCUUGGGGGAUACAAUACAACUUUCAGCAACGGAUCUCUUGGCUCUC
rnacentral:misc_RNA from 1 species